rnacentral:lncRNA from 1 species
GGGGCGGCGGCCACCGGGUUAGGUAGCCGGGCGCCGGGGGCGUGGAGGGCUGCAGAGUGGAGCCCAGGACAGCUGCGAUCCUGCUCGGGUUGCUUUCCUUCCUCCGUCGCCUUCUCCCUUUGCUCUGCGCUGGCCACACGGUGGGACGCCCGCGGCGACAGAAGUCUGGGCGCCCUUGUCUGAAACCUCCUGGCGAGCCUGACAAGCAGCCGCGGAGAGCAAGAUCCAUGUUCACUUAUUCCCUGGUCUAGGAGUGGAAUUUCUGGGACAUACGAUCCUUAUCCAUUAUGUUAUUACAAAUUGAAUAUAUUGAAUAUAGUUCACUGUGCUAUACAGCUCAGCUCAAGAGCCACCCCCUCCGAGUUGCCUUCUGGGAUUUAUUCAAACCAAAGUAGUCCUUCUCUUUCCUGGGACUCAGCGACUGACUCCCUCUCAGACCCACUGUUCCUGGUCACAGUUCUUUGAGUGUGUUGACCUACUUUCUCCCCUUCGGAGGGAAGGCAGAAACCAGUAAGUGUCUCCUGCGAGUACUCUUGCUUUCAGGAACGUUGAUUCUGUCUUCUGGCCCCUCGUCCUUUCCACGCUCCAUUAUCACCGCUAUACCCGCUUCAUGCAUGACCAGAUCCAAACCCUGCGUGUUGCUUACUGUCCCCGUGUUACAGCUGUGUCCACAGAGGCAGUGUAGCCCACACAUCAGGGGCAUGGGGACAGAGUCCUCCCAGCCUUCCCUUCCUGUCUACUGGCCACAGGGUUAAAUGGCAUAAGCUGCAGUGAAGUGGCUUCUGCAUGAGAAUCGUGUGGGAAUCAGCAGAGCGCCUCUGGUUUUGUGACGGGUGGCACACUGGGGACCAAGAAACGUCCUGCUUACAAUCUAUUUCCUAACCUCUGGUGUGGGCCUCCAAGAAGAGUCUUAGGUGGCUCAACUCUUCAGUUGCUUUGACAGGCAGGAUCCUUCUUUGGGCAGCUUGUCCAGGUGACUAUCAAAUACCUAUAUUGAGAUUUUCUGUGGCAGAGUGAUCAUUUUAUGCUGUCUUUACCCUUCUCAUCCUGCAUGCCGUUGCCCACUUCUCUAGCCAUCAGUUAGAAUCAUCUUUGAAAAUAUAUACUCAUUUGUUGGGAGUUCCCUUCGUAGCUCAGUGAUUGACGAAACCGGCUAGGAUUCAUGAGCAUGCGAGUUCGAUCCCUGGCCUCACUCAGUGGGUUAAGGAUCCAGCAUUGCCAUGAGCUGUGGUGUAGGUUGCAGAAGUGGCUCAGAUCUGGUGUUGUUGUGGCUCUGGCAUAGGCCAGCAGCUGUAGCUCUUAUUCGACCCCUAACUUGGGAACCUUCACAUGCUGCGGGUGCGGCCCUAAAAAGCAAUGUGUAUGUGUGUGUAUGUGUGUAUAUAUAUAUAUACACACAUACACACACAUAUACUCAUUUGAAUGUCCGUCUGAGAAAAAUCAAUUAGACGCAUAAAUCCGCUGGGGUUCAGAGAUAGGGUGUGGCUGCAUCAUAUAAUAAACUCCAGAGUGCCUUUGGGGUUAUUGACUGGCUUUAAUACGCUGCCAUGUCUGUUCUCCAUGACCAUGGGUAAUUGAGUGUAUCUUAUUUAGCUCCCCUAUCCCUGGCUGCUUGGUCUCCUCUCCACCCCCGACUCAUCCCUGUGCACAGAGCAGAUUAUAUAUAACCAGCCUUCCUUCUAGCAUCCUAUCAGAUUUCAUCGACAUCGGGUAACAUGCAAUUUUCAAAAGGUUCCGGCUUCCUUUCUACCAGCUUCAAAAUCAUAUUGGAGUUGUAGUGGCCACAGGAGGCUGCACCGCAGCAGCUGGCUGGGGCAGGCUUCAAGUGAGCCCUCCCUCUGGCUUGCUGAGCAGGCAGCAGGUGGAGAGACAGAGCGUGGCUGCAGACCACAGUCAGGGAUCGCCAGGUCCGGGCACUCUUUCAUCCUUGUGGCUGUAAAGUGUCUGUUCCCCGCCCUGAUCAUCUGGGUGGGUUGGAGGCAGAAUGAAAAUAAAUAACAACAGGACCUCCGUCUUCCCAGAACCACUGGGAUGGGGCAUAAGGAUGAACGGUGGAGAGAAAGGUGAUGUUUCUGAGGAGGUGAAUGAUGGAGGGGCCAGUGAGCAAAGUUUUUACCUUAACGUGUGCCUCCAAGUUUCCCUGAGACUCAGAAGUGAGAAGAGCCCAACUGGCAGGAUGGCAGGAAGGGACGGUGCUUGGAGGAAGUUCUCGGAGCCUGUGCUGUUGUAGCAGGGCCCUCUGGUGCCACACUGUCCUAUGAAACCUUCUGUGAUGAGGGCAGUGUCCUCUGUCUACGCUCCCUAAUGUUGGCGGUCCUUAACCACAUGUGGCUUGUGAGCACUUAAACUGUGGCUGGGGAGUUCCCACUCUGGUGCCGUAACGGGAUCAGUGGUGUCUCCGCAGCACCUGGACUCGUGUUCGGUCCCCAGCCUGGCACAGUGGGUUAAAAGGACCUAGCGUUGCUGCAGCUGUGGUGUAGGUCGCCACUGCGGCUCAGAUCUGAUCCCUGGCCCUGGAACUUCCAUGUGCCACAGGGCGGCCAAAAACAAACAAACAAAAAAUGUGGCUGGUGUGGCUGAGGAACUGAAUUUUGAGUUGCGGGUAAUUUUAAUGCAUUUAAGUUUACGUAGCUUAGGGUGGCUAGUGUUUGUCCAGCAACGGCAGAGUGGCCCUAGAGUCACCGUUGACCCGAGUGCGUGAAGGUGGUCUGUAGAGUGCUUUAAAGCACAGACUCUGCAGCCUGCAGCACUGGCAUAAAUCCCGGUUUGCCGUUUACUAACUGCACCCUUGCACCAGUUACCCAGCCUCUCUGCGCCCAUUUUCUCAUCCAUAAGAUGGAGAGCAUAACAGCGUGGACGUCGCAGAGGGCUGCUGGCAAGAUUGAGUGGAGUAAUCUAUGUAAAACCUUAACAAAGUGCCUGGUCUCUGUGAGGCUCUCAGUAGAUGGUUGCUGUCAGGAUGUUUUGUUGUUAAGAUGUUAUGAUGUUUAGUUCUCUCUUAUUUUCCUGUGCUUUGGCCCUAGUCACCGAACAUCAAUAAAUCAACCUGACUUGCUAAGUGCCUGGAGGUGUGAGGAUAAUGACAUUUGCCCUUAUUAACUCCCUUGAGCUCCAUAGCAGAGGAUCUGUUAUUUGAUUUUGUAACUUUAUUGUGUCUGAGCUCUGAAUAAAAUGAGAUUUUUUAAUGAAAGAAAAGAUGAAAUAGUCAAGGUCAGAAUAAUAACAUGAAAAAAAAUCACAUGCCCCACAUUUCCAGUUUCCCAUUCAGUGACCAGGCAUUUACUGAAUCUUUACUGAGAGACUAGUGAUUACAAGCAUAGACUCUGGAGCUAGACCGCCUGGGCUUGCGUCCAUUAUUUACUCGCUGUGUGACUUGGGCAAAGUUAUUUAACCUCUCUGUCUCUAUUUCUUCUUUGUCACUUGGGCGUAAUAAGAGUAUCUGCCUCGUAGCAUUGUUGUAAAGAUUAAAUGAAUCAAGUAAUUCCCUUGUGGCUCAGCAGGUUAAGGACCCGACGUUGUCUCUGUGAGGAUGCAGGUUCAAUCCCUGACCUCGCUCAGUGGGUUAAGGAUCCGGCAUUGCCAUGAGCUGCCACGUAGGCUACAGUUGCAGCUUGGCUCUGGUGUUGUCCUGGCUGUGGCAUAGGCCUGCAGCUGCAGCUCCGAUUCAACCCCUGACCUGGGAACUUCCACAUGCUGCAGGUGGCCAUAAAAAGAAAAAAAAA